rnacentral:tRNA from 1 species
GGGGCUGUAGCUCAACUGGGAGAGCGCUUGCAUGGCAUGCAAGAGGUUGGCGGUUCGAUCCCGCUUGGCUCCA